GAUGAACGCUGGCGGCGUGCUUAACACAUGCAAGUCGAACGGAACUGUUUGAAUGAAGUUUUCGGAUGGAUUUUUAAACAGUUUAGUGGCGGACGGGUGAGUAACGCGUGGGUAACCUGCCUCACACUGGGGGAUAACAGUUAGAAAUAGCUGCUAAUACCGCAUAAGCGCACGGCUCCGCAUGGAGCGGUGUGGAAAACUCCGGUGGUGUGAGAUGGACCCGCGUCUGAUUAGCCAGUUGGCGGGGUAACGGCCCACCAAAGCGACGAUCAGUAGCCGGCCUGAGAGGGUGAACGGCCACAUUGGGACUGAGACACGGCCCAA
rnacentral:rRNA from 1 species